GCUCGAGGAGGUGUUCUACGAGGCCCCACGCCCCUUGUCCCCUCCCCUGCUUCUCCGCCGCCGCCUCUUUCUCCGCCAAAUCCACAUCACUGCCGUGCCCGUUGCUGGGACGGGACAGGGGUGGAGGCGAGGGAGAGAGGGGGGUUGACUCGGCAGCGCCGCCUAGCAGUGUAUGAGGUAUCUAGAGGAGGGCAGUGCGGCAGGGUAAACUCCUCUCCCACUGCAGAGCAGUCCACGGCGCGGUCACUGUCGUCCUCACCAUCUAGCCGUCUGUGAUGUCCGUCGCCAUCGCCAAGCCCCCUCGCCACGCGGUACACAUAGAUGGGGGAGGCGGUAGGAUGCAGCAGCUCGCAGAUUCCUUGGUCGCCGCCGAUGCCAAGCAAGAAGACAAGGUGGGAAGGCGAAGCUGGUUGGAGGAAGAAGCCAUGCAAACUUGGUGAGAGAGGAGAUGGGGUAGGGCGGGAAGCUGUGUGGGACGACUCGGCACUGGUGGACGCCUUCGAUCACACCGUCGCUACCUAAAAGGUAUGGGCCCUCGCCCCCUUUUAUUCUCUUGCCCUUUCCGCCUUGUUGGGAGAAGAUGUAUGUGUGUUCUGUUUUAGACAAUGGUGUUCAUGUAAGCGCGUUCACGUCAUGUUCCGUUCUGCAAUGCACAAGUACCAUGUUCUCUUUUAUUUCUGGAAUCGUGUGUAUUCGCACAAGUACUAUGCACACAGCAACACAUGGUCUAUACUGCUGCAAAUUGUUCCGCGUUAGCUUUGAAUCUGUUAGUGAAGUUGUUAUUGUAUGGUAACGGCGUACUUUUAUGGGAUGAUUAAUAGAAUGGAUCUGCAUGUGCUAUAGAUAGCUAAUCCUUUGCAACAAUUUAAUAAGAUGCUGAAAUCAAAGGCGUGGCCUCUAUUUGAUCAGCACGGUAUGCUAUAAAACCGAGAAGAAGAGAAGGAGGAGUAUGGGUGUGAUUUGCUUCUGUUUUUGUUAUAUAAUUGUAGGCUCUGCUGGUACCAUUUUCUUUUUCUGGUGUAAAUUUUUGCUCUUGCGAUUUGUCUCUUGUAAUUAUCUUGAAUCCUACAGUCAGUUGCAUUUUUGGUUCCUACAGUCAGUUGCAUUUUUGGUACCAGGUGAGAGUUUGGUCCUGCAAUUCGGUUCCUACAGUCAGUUGCAUUUUUCUUGUAUGAAAUUAAAGUGUCGUAGUUUAUCAAUAUCACCCGAAUUGGACCAUCUGACAUUUCAUAAGCUUUAUCAGUACUAUGUUCUCCUCAGCUGUACUGCUGCUCCAACUGAAGGUUUGCUCUCAGUUUCAGAUCUCCCUGAGUUAUUCUAGAAUCUAUUAUGCUCUUUUACAUUGAAUUCCUUGGGUUGAAACUGUGAGCUGUGCCUAUUUUUAAUUCUAAAAUAUAUCUGCUGUCUAGAGAAGGUAGAACGACAAGGUUAUUCAGAUGUUUUACAGUAUCUGAUAUGCCCCUUAAUUAGUACGGUGGGCUCACAAGCUUGGGUCCUGAGCCACAAGAACUCGAGAAAGGCAUCAUACAUUCCUUUUUUGCAAGGCACUGGCAACUUCAGAUACGAUUGCCCAUGGACAUGUCUCAGAAUCCCCCAUGUCAACAACUGGUAGCCAAAGAUCUUCAUAGAACUGAGUGGCAUUUUCGUCACAUUUUUUGUGGUGAUUUUACAAUUUGAGUAUUCAGCUUGAAUACCCUUUAAACUUUCCGUCGUUCUGUUCUUAUUGUUUUCGUAUAGCGGUAGAUGUCACAAUUGAAUCUUGAAUUCUUAUCACUGCAGAAAAUUGCAGCAUAUAGUGAUUCAUUACUUCUUGAGUAUGUUGAACUGUAUCCCUGUCUGGUUCUAUCUCAUGCCUUCCGGUGUUUUGUGUUUCGGAUGCUAUCUUUGUAUUUAAGUGUCAUUUAUUUAGUUCUUUCAAAAUUUGUUGUCGCAACUUCUUACAUCCAAUGUCCAUGUGUUAUAAGAUAGCAACAAAGCAAAUGGAAUGGGCGCUUAAGAUAGCAACAAAGCAAAUGGAAUGGGCGCUUGCCAACUUGGCGCCGCCCAACUUCCUCUCAAGAGGCGCCACCGGGUGGCGCCCCAACACCUAGUGGGAAUGACGCUGCUGUUCACCGUUACCUUGAUGGCCCUUUGGCAUCAAAAGUGUCAGACGAUCAGAAGGAAAAGAACAUUGCAGGAGUGGCUCCAAUCGUGGAGUACGAGGCAGGGUUGUUCCAAACGGUGUCGACCGAGACCGUGCACUUGCAGACGCGAAUGUCUGGGCCGAGGCUUGGAGACGCCACGAGAAGGCAAGCAAAGUGCGUGUGACCGAUGAAAUCCUCGGAUAGUGAGCUGAGCUCUGCUUGAUGUUUUGGCAUGCUGGCGAUUUUGAAGAGAGCGUUGUUAGGAGAGGAGGAAUAAUGCGCACCGAGGUGUGUAGUACUGCUCACACCACCAGAGUGAGCGCUCGCAAGGUUUCACCGGUGGAGCCUGUCACGUCCACCAUUGUUUCGCUGCAUACAUUACACGAUCUGAAUUUCGCAUAGAGGUAUGUAUUGUUUCAGGGGCUUUGUAAAUAAAUGUAAUAACCCCUGUAAUUGAUGGAUCGGUGUGUAGAACCCUUUUUUCAGUCCAGAG